AGUGAACGCUGGCGGUAGGCCUAACACAUGCAAGUCGAACGGCAGCACAGUAAGAGCUUGCUCUUACGGGUGGCGAGUGGCGGACGGGUGAGGAAUACAUCGGAAUCUCCUUUUUCGUGGGGGAUAACGUAGGGAAACUUACGCUAAUACGGCAUACGACCUACGGGUGAAAGCAGGGGAUCUUCGGACCUUGCGCGAUUGAAUGAGCCGAUGUCGGAUUAGCUAGUUGGCGGGGUAAAGGCCCACCAAGGCGACGGUCCGUAGCUGGUCUGAGGGGAUGAUCAGCCACACUGGAACAGAGCCACGGUCCAGACUCCUACGGGAGGCAGCAGAGGGGACUAUUGGACAAUGGGCGCAAGCCUAAUCCAGCCAUACCGCGUGGGUGAAGAAGGCCUUCGGGUUGUAAAGCCCUUUUGUUGGGAAAGAAAAGCAGCAGGUUAAUACCCCGCUGUUCUGACGGUACCCAAAGAAUAAGCACCGGCUAACUUCGUG
rnacentral:rRNA from 1 species